rnacentral:rRNA from 1 species
CCUACGGGGGGCAGCAGUGAGGAAUAUUGGUCAAUGGGCGGGAGCCUGAACCAGCCAAGCCGCGUGAGGGAAGAAGGUACAGCGUAUCGUAAACCUCUUUUGUCAGGGAACAAAGGCGGGGACUAGUCCCCGGAUGAGGGUACCUGAAGAAAAAGCAUCGGCUAACUCCGUGCCAGCAGCCGCGGUAAUACGGGGGAUGCGAGCGUUAUCCGGAUUUAUUGGGUUAAAGGGGUGCGCAGGCGGCCUGUUAAGUCAGCGGGAAAAGCCCGGGGCGCAAACCCGGCGAGCCGUUGAAACUGGCGGGCUGGAGUUGGAGAGAAGUACGCGGAAUGCGCGGUGUAGCGGUGAAAUGCUUAGAUAUCGCGAAGAACUCCGAUUGCGAAGGCAGCAUACCGGCGCCCAACUGACGCUGAAGCACGAAAGCGUGGGUAUCGAACAGGAUUAGAUACCCGAGUAGUC